rnacentral:rRNA from 1 species
GUAGGUGGCAAGCGUUGUCCGGGAAUUAUUGGGGCGUAAAGCGCGCGCAGGCGGUCCUUUAAGUCUGAUGUGAAAGCCCACGGGCUCAACCGUGGAGGGUCAUUGGAAACUGGGGGACUUGAGUACAGAAGAGGAAAGCGGAAUUCCAAGUGUAGCGGUGAAAUGCGUAGAGAUUUGGAGGAACACCAGUGGCGAAGGCGGCUUUCUGGUCUGUAACUGACGCUGAGGCGCGAAAGCGUGGGGAGCAAACAGGAUUAGAUACCCUGGCAGUCCACGCCGUAAACGAUGAGUGCUAAGUGUUAGGGGGUUUCCGCCCCUUAGUGCUGCAGCUAACGCAUUAAGCACUCCGCCUGGGGAGUACGGCCGCAAAGGCUGA